rnacentral:rRNA from 1 species
UACGAAGAGGGCUAGCGUUGCUCGGAAUCACUGAGCGUAAAGGAUGCGUAGACGGGUCUUUUAAGUCAGGGGUGAAAUCCUGGAGCUCAACUCCAGAACUGCCUUUGAUACUGAGGAUCUUGAGUUCGGGAGAGGUGAGUGGAACUGCGAGUGUAGAGGUGAAAUUCGUAGAUAUUCGCAAGAACACCAGUGGCGAAGGCGGCUCACUGGCCCGAUACUGACGCUGAGGCACGAAAGCGUGGGGAGCAAACAGG